GUGGGGAAUUUUGGACAAUGGGCGCAAGCCUGAUCCAGCCAUGCCGCGUGCAGGAUGAAGGCCUUCGGGUUGUAAACUGCUUUUGUACGGAACGAAAAGACUUCUUCUAAUACAGGAGGUCCAUGACGGUACCGUAAGAAUAAGCACCGGCUAACUACGUGCCAGCAGCCGCGGUAAUACGUAGGGUGCAAGCGUGAAUCGGAAUUACUGGGCGUAAAGCGUGCGCAGGCGGUUAUAUAAGACAGAUGUGAAAUCCCCGGGCUCAACCUGGGAACUGCAUUUGUGACUGUAUAGCUAGAGUACGGUAGAGGGGGAUGGAAGUCCGCGUGUAGCAGUGAAAUGCGUAGAUAUGCGGAGGAACACCGAUGGCGAAGGCAAUCCCCUGGACCUGUACUGACGCUCAUGCACGAAAGCGUGGGGAGCAAACAGGAUUAGAAACCCCGGUAGUCC
rnacentral:rRNA from 1 species